rnacentral:lncRNA from 1 species
UUCCACUGCUGUUGUAGCUAUUGUGAAUGGGCCCAGAAGGGGCUUAACAUUUGGUAUCACACAAACAAAUUAUGCUCCCUGAUCUAUGUUGGUUUAUACCAGUUGCAAACUGAAAACAACACAACCUAGAAGCACUCUACACCCCAAGCUCUUGUAAUAGUGAUUAUUCAGGUAGCCAAGCGUGGUACACAAUAGCAUCACAUCAUCUCAAUCCUUUCACUUCCUUUCCAGUUGUGCUUUAAAGCAGUGCACUUCUCCUCAUCCUGAGCUUUGCUUGGAUGUGGGAAAGUUUGAAAAUAUCCUCAGGUGGUCAUAUUUAUUGUCAGGCAUGCUCAGAUCAGUGAGGAGGUGGUUUAAGAACUGAGGUGAGGGAAAAGCUUAGCUUUCCAUAUGAGAUGUUAUUGGUAGUGGAAGAGCAGUCUGGAUAUUCUGCAACCGCUCUAUGUUGAUAGUGGGCACAGUGUUUGAAAGACAAUUUUUCUUUUUUUCCUGGAAACAAUAUUUAAAAGGAAUCUCCUUAUGGAUAAAGGGGAAAGGCUGAUCCUUCUUCAGUGGUUCCCAUGUAGGCACACCACAAGCUCACAGCUGGCAGCUGCUCUAUCAGCAGUGUUGGUGCUUCAGCAGCAAGACCCGAGUAAACAUACUGUUUGGAAUGAUGUCCAGUCCAAUGUAAAUCCUGAAAUAAGUAGGUACAAGGUCAUAGUUCUAGCAUGACUGAUGGAAUUGGAUAAAAAGUACUAAAUCAAAUUGGAGGGUGUGUACCUGGAAGACUGCAGCUAUGAACUUUGGCUGGUGAACUUCCAGGCAGCUGGGAGGAUCUGGAGGGAGGGCCAGUGGUGCUGCUGGGCUGUACUGUGAGUGGGACACACUGAUCAUCCGGCAAGACCUCUCUGCCAACAGAAACUGUCUUCCUUUCCACCCUCCAUGCUAUCAAACAUGCUUCAUGACAGAAGCUUACUUUGCCAGUGUGAGGGAAAAUAUCUGCUGCUACACUCAUGAAACCCUGUGUGGGCCCGUCUGUCCUCAGAACCAAAGAAGGCACUCCAGCUGGCUACAUGCUGGGUCCAAACGUCCUUUCUUUACUAUGAGUUCAGGACCUUGCUGAGGAAGAGGGGAGCAUCAGAGGUGAAAGAGUAGCAAAGACUGUGCUGGAAACCUCUUGGGGCAGGUCUCCUCAGCACUUUGUUUCUCAAGGCCACAUCUGGACAGUGGGGACAGCCAGGUUUGGGGGUUCGCAGUAUUAGGGCUGGUGGAAGGAUGGAGAUGAACCAGGGCAGGGUGUGCAGUUAGCAGUGUAAACAAGCUUGGCUCUGGUGGUGAAGUGGUAAGAUGUAUUUUUUUAAUUAUUGAGCUGUGUACACAUUAUGAAACCAUUACAGAACCAAAGAAUAUAACAUUCCAAAUUACAAAUACCAGCUUAUACAAAGGGGUAAUAAAAUAAAUAAUACAUUAACUAGCUCA